rnacentral:rRNA from 1 species
AUGGGGCCCCGCUCCGCUCCACCCCCAUCCUCCUCCUCCCCUCCUCCCCGUAUAAAACCAACUACCCACCCCCGUCUCCCCUCUCUCUCCUCCUCGCUCUCUCUCAAAAAGCUCGCUCGCUCGCACGCACCACCAACACCACACCGCUCCUCCUUUCCCUCAGACCCACCCACAACCACAACAGCAUAUAUCAUCAGUCCGUUACUCGUGUGCGGCGCCGGCGGCAUCUCCUCCUGUCUACGUAGGUAUCGUAUACGUGCCGGCGGCAUGGGUAGGUCCCCGUGCUGCGAGAAGGCGCACACCAACAAGGGCGCCUGGACCAAGGAGGAGGACCAGCGCCUCAUCGCCUACAUCAAGGCCCAUGGCGAGGGCUGCUGGAGGUCCCUCCCCAAAGCCGCAGGGCUGCUGCGGUGCGGGAAGAGCUGCAGGCUGCGGUGGAUCAACUACCUGAGGCCGGACCUCAAACGGGGGAACUUCACCGAGGAGGAGGACGAGCUCAUCAUCAAGCUCCACGAGCUGCUCGGCAACAAGUGGUCGCUCAUCGCCGGGAGGCUGCCGGGGAGGACGGACAACGAGAUCAAGAACUACUGGAACACGCACAUCAAGCGCAAGCUCCUGGCCCGCGGCAUGGACCCGCACACCCACCGCCCGCUCAAUGCCAUCGCGGCGGCCGCCAUGCCCGCGCAGCAGCAGCAGCAGCUCCGGGCCGCGCACGAACGCCACUUCGCUGCUGCCACACCCGGUGGCCACCACCUCCAGCCGCAGCAGCAGGAUCCCUUCGCGGCUCUCUCCAGCUCAGCCGAACCCGCCUGCAGCCACAGCAGCGACGACGAGCCGGCCGGCUCCGCCACGCCGCCGCCACCGUCGCGACGGCACCUCGGCAUCGACCUCAACCUCUCCAUCAGCCUCGCGCCCUACCAGCCAGACGACCCAGCGGUGAAACAGGAGGCAGCAACGACGGGGAGCCAGAACAAUGCAACAACGUCCACGUCGGCGGUGUGCAUGUGCUUGAACCGCCUCGGGUUCCAGGGCGCCGGCGAGGGAUGCCGCUGCGGCGGCGCUUCCUCCGUGCCCAUGCAGCAGCAGGCCAGCAGCGCGCAGCGCAUGUUUAGAUUCAUCGCACCACUAGAGGGAGGAGGCCAAUAG